rnacentral:rRNA from 1 species
UACGAAGGGGGCUAGCGUUGCUCGGAAUCACUGGGCGUAAAGCGCACGUAGGCGGGUUCUUAAGUCGGGGGUGAAAUCCCGGAGCUCAACUCCGGAACUGCCUUCGAUACUGGGGACCUCGAGUCCGGGAGAGGUGAGUGGAACUGCGAGUGUAGAGGUGAAAUUCGUAGAUAUUCGCAAGAACACCAGUGGCGAAGGCGGCUCACUGGCCCGGUACUGACGCUGAGGUGCGAAAGCGUGGGGAGCAAACAGG